ACUCAUUGUAGAAAAGUCCAAUUAACCUGAAAUUUAUAUCAAUGAAAAGCUUAGACAAUUUAGAACAACUUUCAUGAAGAACACCAAACUAAAUUCUGACUAUAACCCAUCUGAAUUGCUAACCAAAGUCAGGGUAUCAAAACUGCAAGAACCAUUUCUGCCCAGAAAUUCUGGGUAGAUGCCAAUCCGGCUAGUCCUAAAGAAAUUAGCAUAACUUGAGCUAGAAAACUCCAAAUGGGGUGAUUCAAAAAGUGAAAUGUAACUAGACACAAUAAAAAACAACUUUGAUUGAGAACACUUGGCCAAAUUCUCACUGUAUAAUGGCCUAAUGGAACAGUGAACUCUAUCACCCAAAAACUGAAAUUUUGAUUUAUUCUCCAUUGGUUAGAA
rnacentral:misc_RNA from 1 species